rnacentral:tRNA from 1 species
GCGCCCAUAGUUCAAUGGAUAGAAUAGGGGCUUGCGGAGCCUCUGAUACAGGUUCGACUCCUGUUGGGCGCG